GUCUAUGGCCACGCCACCCUGAACAAGUCCAAUGCCGUCUGAUCUCAGAAGCUAAGCAGGGUCAGGCCUGGUUAGUACUUGGAUGGGAGACCACCUAGGAAGACCAGGUCCUGUAGGUG
rnacentral:rRNA from 1 species